ACUACCAUCCUAGAAGAGAUUCCUAGGAACCUCAACACUGAAUGGUCGAUAACAUGUGAUAGAAAAUUAUGUGACAGUACGUUUAAACUUGGUAAAGUAAAGCCUCGUUAUCAUCAAAUGCGACUUUGUUCAAAAACCCUUUUCGUUGUACAGUGCCCAAUUCUGGAAUGUGCUCAACAGACUUUGCAUAAUCUAAUAAACUAUACUGUUUAUCGAGAUGAACCAAAUGUGGAAAUAAAUAGCCUACAAUUUCUAGGUGAUGCAUGAUAAAAAGCCAGUUUUGAGCUGUACGACUAGGUGCUGUGUUUAACAACUUAAUAGUGUUUAGGUCAUAAGUUGUUAAUUCACGAUCCACAGACAAAAACGUUUCAGCAGUUGAAGUUUGAACGCAAACAAGGUCAGGGAAACGUUGUACGCAGUGGAAACUAGAUAUUGGCAUAACCAGCAACUUCGGAUGACCGAUUUUUGAAAAAAUAACUUGCUUCUUCCAAAGGGCAAGGUUGGGGUCUAACUCUAAACUAGCAGAAAACUCCGCUAAGUACUUCCAGAGUAGAUCUUGUUGUUGAUGAGGAAAUGAAUCGAAAUGAUCUAGUUCACAAAGGAAUUUGCAUGGGUUGCUGAGAAGCUCGUUUGUAUAAUUAGUUUUUUCCUCUUCAGACCAAAAGAAAUCAGCUUCCCUUGUCUUUGCUAAGGAGCUUAGCAUGAUAUACCGCUGCUUAUGUGCUUCUUUGGGUAAGAUCAAUGAAAUAAGUUUUGUGCUGAAGUAGGAUAAUUCCCUAAUGCUAAUGGAAUUUUGUUCUUCCUUUUCAUUUUCAUUUUCAGGAUCGUUCAGUUGAAUGAAAGAUUGCCCAGUAUGUUCACUGUCGAAACAUAGUAGCAAUCGGAGUAAACGUUCUUCUCUACAGCAACGAAAAUCCCAACGUGACGAGACCCCUUUAAAUUGAAGGACACUAAGUUCCUUUUCUGUAUGUUCAUAAUUGCGUAAUUGCAGGAUAUCGCUUUCAUCAAACAUAAAGCAAUACUCCGCUCUUAACGUGUGUCCAAUAACUAGGUUUUCAUCAUUAGCCAGCAACCCGUAUUCAUCCAAAAUUUGCUUUCUUUCAAAUUCAUUACCCAGAGAAUAGUAUGGAGUUCCCAAAUCAGUCAUAAAGGUCAAGUUGUCAUGAGGUUCCGUUCCUUCAUUUUCCUCAAUACUCUCUAAAGUCGGCACUUUCUUUUGACAUUUACUCUUCUUGAACUCUAGAAGGUAUUGAGAAUAUCCGGCGGGAUCAUCAUUUUGUUCUUUUUCGGAAAUUUCAACUGUUUCUACUUUUUGAUUUGACAAUUCUCCAUUGUCAACAUAAACAGAUUCUGUUUCAACAGGAUCACUAUCAGGAGAUAGGCGCUCUUUUCUAUUUUCUUCAUCGACUGAUGAAAUGGCUCGAAGGGCCAGAACACGCGGUCCAUCUGGAAGACGUUUCUCAUGUUUAACGACAAAGCCAGAGUUGGGAGAUCCCAUCAAAAACUUCCUAACAGAAAUCAAAAAUUUAGGAUCAUAUCCAUCAGUAUUUGUUUCCAAGUCGGUUAAUACCAAGUUGCUAUUGACCUCCUCAGAGCUUCCAAUAACCUUCAAAAGUGGAACAUAUGAUGGAGAAGGCGCUAGUGUCUGUAAUGAAUCCUGCGAGUCAUCAUGCUCAUUAGAAAAUCCCAAGUCGGUUGCUUUAACCCCUAAUUUAUGAAAAAUUUUCUUGGCAAGUGCUCCCAUUUCUUGCUGUAUAUUUUCUAAAGAUAUUUUGCUUUUAGUUGAGUCAAUCGUUUCUUUUUCAGAGACAUUGUCAGAAAACUCCUGCUGGACUUCCUUUUCAAUGUUAGUUUCAUAGAUGGGAUGCAUAGUCGUAGUAUUAUCAGGGUUCGUCAACUCCAUAUUUACUAUACUAUCUGAAACAAUAUUCUCUCCAAAGAUACUACUCAUUUUGGAUCUUGAGGAUGCUGGCAAAAGACAAGUUGAAUGUUUGUUUACUAUGGAUCAUUUGAUCAUUGCAGUCUGCAUUUAGUCCACUGAGGAAAGUAAACAAAACUUUAAAAUUCAUAUUUAUUACUCAACAAUGAUUGUAUUAGUAUUAUCUUGAACUUACAAAAAUCUCACUGUAUAUUGCCAAUUUAACUUGUUUACUUUACGAAACAUCGCUAAUAAUGGACGCUAGUAUACCUACACCUCAGUUGCAGUUCGCCAUAAAUUUCACCAUUGAGAG